GUAGGUGAACCUGCGGAAGGAUCAUUACCAAUCCAAAAAAAAACAAAUACACCUGUGCACUUUGGGAAUGUCUUUAGGGGUACGGAAGUUCCUUCUCUUAGGCUUUUAAAUGGCACAAUUUAUAUAUAUUGUUGUUGUAUAUGCGCGCAUUUUUGUCAAGUUGUCAAAAGUUUAAGACUAUUGGAAGGGCUGCGGGCCUAUUCAAUGGACUUUAUAUACUUUUUCAAUGGAAACAUCAUGCAUGUGUAUA
rnacentral:misc_RNA from 1 species